GAUGAAGAACGUAGCGAAAUGCGAUAAGUAAUGUGAAUUGCAGAAUUCAGUGAAUCAUCGAAUCUUUGAACGCACAUUGCGCCCGCCAGUAUUCUGGCGGGCAUGCCUGUUCGAGCGUCAUUUCAACCAUCAAGCCCCCGGCUUGUGUUGGGGACCUGCGGCUGCCGCAGGCCCUGAAAACCAGUGGCGGGCUCGCUAGUCACUCCGAGCGUAGUAAUACAUCUCGCUCAGGGCGUGCUGCGGGUUCCGGCCGUUAAAGAGCCUUAUUUACCCAAGGUUGACCUCGGAUCAGGUAGGAAGACCCGCUGAACUUAAGCAUAUCAAUAAGCGGAGGA
rnacentral:misc_RNA from 1 species